UUCAACUGCAGAGACGAAUCACAGAAGAGGAGGCAGAAAAUAUAAAGGACGGGUUAGAGGCGAUAUUUGGAAAAGUAACUUGUUUCUGUUACAAAAACACAAUGAAGACUUUGUCCCUCCACCAUUAGAAAUGGCCAGGUUGACAAGAAAUGGUUUAGGUGUUCCUAAACAUGAACAGCCUGGUUCUACUGAAAGAUAUGGCUCAAAGUCAAUAAUUCAAAGGAAAUGGAAUUUUUCUCGUUUUGAGA